rnacentral:rRNA from 1 species
GACAGAGGAUGCAAGCGUUAUCCGGAAUGAUUGGGCGUAAAGCGUCUGUAGGUGGCUUUUCAAGUCCGCCGUCAAAUCCCAGGGCUCAACCCUGGACAGGCGGUGGAAACUACCAAGCUGGAGUACGGUAGGGGCAGAGGGAAUUUCCGGUGGAGCGGUGAAAUGCGUUGAUAUCGGGAGGAACACCUGUGGCGAAGGCGGCCCCCUGGGCCGGCCCUGACACUGAGACGCGAAGGCGUGGGGAGCGAACGGG